AUGUUAAGAGAGAUAGGAACUGAUAUACAAACUUUCAGGUACCCUCAUCAAUUAGAAAAGAGGGUUCAAUCACUUGGCCAAAAGAUGAAGGAUAAGGAUGAAGCUCUAACAUCCACUAGGCCAUCACUUUCCAUAGUAGAGGAUGUUGUUGCUGAGGAUGAACCAAGAAUUGGAAUCUUUCAGCAAGAUAGUGAAGAAGUUGUAGGCAUCUCUGAGUAA